rnacentral:rRNA from 1 species
UGUGCCUACGGAGGCAGCAGUGGGGGAUAUUGCACAAUGGGGGAAACCCUGAUGCAGCGACGCCGCGUGGGCGAAGAAGUAUUUCGGUAUGUAAAGCCCUAUCAGCAGGGAAGAAGAAAUGACGGUACCUGAGUAAGAAGCACCGGCUAAAUACGUGCCAGCAGCCGCGGUAAUACGUAUGGUGCAAGCGUUAUCCGGAUUUACUGGGUGUAAAGGGAGCGCAGGCGGCGCGUUAAGCCUGGUGUGAAAGCCCGCGGCCCAACCGCGGGACUGCAUUGGGAACUGGCGCGCGG